rnacentral:rRNA from 1 species
AGCAGUCGCCGCGGGAAAACGUAGGUGGCAAGCGUUGUCCGGAAUUAUUGGGCGUAAAGGGCUCGCAGGCGGUUUCUUAAGUCUGAUGUGAGAGCCCCCGGCUCAACCGGGGAGGGUCAUUGGAAACUGGGAAACUUGAGUGCAGAAGAGGAGAGUGGAAUUCCACGUGUAGCGGUGAAAUGCGUAGAGAUGUGGAGGAACACCAGUGGCGAAGGCGACUCUCUGGUCUGUAACUGACGCUGAGGAGCGAAAGCGUGGGGAGCGAACAGGAUUAGAUACCCCAGUAGUCCCUGUCUCUUAUAC